GAGUUUAGCUUAGCAACAUAUAUACUAAAAUUGGAACAAGACAAAGAAGAUUAGCUUGGCCUCUGAGGAAUAAUGGCACACAAAUUUGUAAAUCAUCUAUUUUU